rnacentral:tRNA from 1 species
GCCGAAAUAGCUCAGUUGGGAGAGGGUAAGACUAUAGAUCGAAAGUGAAUGGUUCGAACCUGGGCAUCCGCA